UACGUAGGGUCCGAGCGUUGUCCGGAAUUAUUGGGCGUAAAGGGCUCGUAGGCGGUUCGUCACGUCGGGAGUGAAAACUCGGGGCUUAACCCCGAGCCUGCUUCCGAUACGGGCAGACUAGAGGUAGGCAGGGGAGAGCGGAACUCCUGGUGUAGCGGUGGAAUGCGCAGAUAUCAGGAAGAACACCGGUGGCGAAGGCGGCUCUCUGGGCCUUACCUGACGCUGAGACGCGAAAGCGUGGGGAGCGAACCGG
rnacentral:rRNA from 1 species